rnacentral:lncRNA from 12 species
AUGAGCUAUUUCUGUCUAAAAAAGGAAUGUACAGCUAGUGACCACAUGGCACCUAAAAUACAAGGAGGCAGGCCUGUACUUGAGGAUUCACCGUCGUUGCCCUUGCUAUUUGUUCAGGGGGAGAUCUUUGGCACAGUUCUAGGACCCGGAGGUUUGGAUGGUGGCAGCUCCACGGAUCUCAGGAAGGAACACUGGCUGUGGAAAGUUCCUGCGACGUCCCAGUGCACAGACAUGGGUCCUAUUUACUGUGCCGGGGCUGGAGGAUGUGUGCCUCUUUGUUUAAUGACCUGGCAGUUUGUUUCUCAGCUGCGGGCUGCUUGUGUGCGUGUUCCUGCCAUUGCCAGAGGCGUUUCUGUUGAACCUGGCAUCUGUUCCUGCACUUUCUCCAAAACCGAAAGCUAAUUUGGGCUUUGUAGUGUGUGAAGGCCUGCUAGCUCUUUCCAUUUCUGAUUUUUUUUUUUUUUCUGGCCCCAGAUUGUCACUGUAAUGAGGCCAUUUUUAAUUUUGUUUUUUUCCCCCUCAAAUGAUUUAUUUUCCCUAGUGAUGUUUUUCCUUCUGGAAUCUGACCUUGUACAUCUGUGCUUGCGUUUUAUUAGGGAUACUUUCUAUUAAUACUCCAUGACUUCUCCAAUUCUCGUCUGCCCUUUUCCUAUCUCAACUUCUUACUCUCAUUUUUGUAUAGGGUUUCCUUUGUCCAUAACUGAGAAUUGGUCUCUAUGUUACACUGACUCAUAAGGACCCAAGCAGCAUAUAGAGGACGGUUCCAGGGUGGGAUGAGACCCUUCCCCAGGAACUGAAGACAAAUUAGCUGCCGUGUAAAGGAACAGGGGUAGUCUCCACAUUUCUAUAUGGACAAGUUUAGGGGUGAUAAUCUGGUUGAAAGAAUUGAAGGAAGAGUAUGUCUGGGGGUUGUGUGGAAGCUGUGUUUGCAUUAAAGCAAACCUUCUACUUAGAACUGAUUGUACCUUUUUUUCUUCCUGGCAAAGAAGAAAAAGUGACUGUGUAGGGGUGAGAGGGACAGAGGGAGAGAGAGUGGAUUUUCUUUUUUUUUUUUUCUUUUUCUUUUUUAAGAGAGAAUGAGAGUCUUAAGCAGACUCCCGGCUAGUGAGGAGCCUGACGUGGGGCUUGAUCUCACAACCCUGAGGUCAUGACCUGAGUUGAAAUCAGGAGUCAGGCGCUUAACCAACUGAGCCACCCAGGGGCCCCGGAACGGACCGUAUCUUUAUGGCAGUGAAGACAUGAUGAGAAUUAUUGCGACAACGGAAGCCACCUUAGCCAGCUCUCUGCACCUCUCCUCUGCCCUUUAUUCCAGAUAUUAAGUCAUCUGAGAGAGAAGCCUCUUGAAUGCUUGCUACCUCUCCUCCAUUUAUUCCUUCCCCAGGAUCUGCUGCUAUGAUCAGGC